rnacentral:rRNA from 1 species
GACGAACGCUGGCGGCGUGCCUAAUACAUGCAAGUCGAACGCAGUGGGGACGGGUGAGUAACACGUGGGUAACCUCCCAUCAGAGGGGAUAACACUUGGAAACAGGUGCUAAACCGAUACUGAUGGAUGGACCCGCGGUGCAUUAGCUAUUUGGUGAGGUAACGGCUCACCAAGGCCACGAUGCAUAGCCGGCCUGAGAGGGUGAUCAGCCACACUGGGACUGAGACACGGCCCAGACUCCUACGGGAGGCAGCAGUGGGGAAUCUUCGACAAUGGGCGAAAGUCUGACGGAGCCACGCCGCGUGAGUGAAGAAGGUCUUCGGGUCGUAAAGCUCUGUUGUUAGGGAGGCGGUAUCUACACAGGAAGCCACGGCUAACUACGUGCCAGCAGCCGCGGUAAUUC